GGGGAUAUAGCUCAGCCGGGAGAGCGCUUGCAUGGCAUGCAAGAGGUCGUGGGUUCGAGCCCCAUUAUCUCCA
rnacentral:tRNA from 1 species